GAACCAUCUUCACUCCAGAGAGAGUUCAAGAAAGGCACAGACGGCACAAAUGACCUCCACGCUGGUUUCCCAGCGAAUGCGGGGUCUGGCAGUCUGUGCAGCAAUGGGAGGCAAGCCUCAGGAAACAGGGAGCAACACGGAAUAUAAAACUGAGUUCCAAGUCCAGCUGCUUCGAAACGUGUCUGCUUGCAGACUGGCUAGAGCGGCAAAGAUUCAGAACAGCUGACCCGCCCGAGUGACGGUGCUGAGAGUGAUUAAAGAACAUUUCUGCUAUGCUUGUUA